GGUGGUUCUUGGGUGACAUACCCUGAAAUUGGGCUCCCUCCUCUCUGGUUUUGGGGUGUGUCACCCGAGAAUCGCA
rfam:Myotis brandtii contig305363, whole genome shotgun sequence.